rnacentral:misc_RNA from 1 species
AUGCGAUAAGUAAUGUGAAUUGCAGAAUCUCGUGAAUCAUCAAAUCUUUGAAUGUAUAUUGCACUCUAUGGUAUUCCAUAGAGCAUGCCUAUCUGAGCAUCAGCUCCCUCACCCUCAAACCUUUAUAAAAAAAGGUUUGGAUAUUGAAAAGGUAAUUGAAUAAGUUACCUUUCAAAAAUAUAGAGGCAGUAUUAUUACAACCUACAUGAAAAUGUGAUAGUUAUAUUAUAUACCAUUUCUCUUAGGGAGUAUAUUACUUGCCUUAUUUAACCCACUGAAAGAAUCAAAUUCAUGGGUGACCUCAGAUCAGGUAGGGAUACCCGCUGAACUUAA